ensembl:snRNA U6 U6 spliceosomal RNA
UUGCUUUGGCAGCACAUACACUAACAUUGGAAUGACACAGAGAAGAUUAGCAUGGCCCCUGCACAAGGAUGACACGCAAAUUCGUGAAGAGUUCCAUAUUUAA